UUCUCUUCCUUGCAGGCGGCUGCCACUUCUUUGCAGCUGCACUCUGCUUGUGCUGGCCUCUCGGCCUGGAUUAGCUGUCCUUGUUACAUCCAUCCCAUCCACCAAGGGAGCCGCCUCCUCUGUAAAACCAUCUUGAUUCUGUCAACUCUGAAUACCAGGUGUUUUGAGCAGCUCAGGAGCAGGAAUCGAACUCAGGACCUCGCGCUUGCCAGCCAGAAGGGUGUCAGAGAACUGGAAGUGGGUGACCGGGUCUCCAGACUUUCCCUGACCCCUGGUCUCAUCCUCUGGGGCUAUGAACCAUUCUUCAGCACAGGUAGGAAUGCUCACUAAGGAUUCUAUUUGUCCCUUUAC